GGGGUGGGGCCCAGUUUGGAUUUAGUGGUUUGUGUGAAGAAGAGGGAAGAUGUGAAGAAGGUUGAGGAGGUUGAAGAUUGUUUUAUUCUUGAGUUUGAUCCUAAUGAUGAUGAUGAUGAUGAUGAUGAUGAUGAUGAUGAUGAUGAGGUGAGGUCUAUGGUUUGUGUGAAGAAGGGAGAAGAUGUGAAGAAGGUUGAGGAAGUUGAGGAUUGUUUUAUUUUGGAGUUUGAUCCUUGUGAAUUAGAGAAUUUUUCUAAAUUGUCAAUUUGUGAGAAGUCUGAAGGUGUUGCUGUUGAUGAUGAUGUUUCAAUUUUAGCUGAGAAAGGGCAGGUGGCUUGUAGGGAUUACCCACAUUCGAGGCACGUCUGUGCCACCCAUCUUUUUAACAAGACUCCUCAUGAAAUUCAUUGCAAAAUGUGUUAUUGCUACAUCUGUGAUGUACCAGCGCCUUGUCAGAAAUGGAAUGAUGGUUCGAGUAAACUUGGUUUAAGCCACUGCGAUGCUACUGAAGAAUCUCAAUUUUGGAGGUUACUUAAGAGUGUAGAGAAGAGGCAGACUCAAAUGUAGGUUAAAGGGUGAAGACUAAACCUGAAAGGAGUGGUAUAUACAUGUUUUGUUUCAUCCUGUGGUAAUAUUUGUGUAUUUCUUCUAAUGGUCAAUUGUGUUUACUAAAUCUAGGAAGUUCAGGGAUCAUAUCUAGAUACGUACAAAUUGUUAAGGGGUUGGAGAGGGAGGGUCAAGUGAUUUAUAGGAUGUUUUGUAAAUUGGAAAAGAUGUGCUAUUUCUGAACUCAGCUAACUAGGUUGCUGAUUUGAGUUCUCAAAUCCAUCACAUGUGUUGCUCAGCUCUGCAAAAUUUAGCAUUAACUAACCCAUUUAAUGCAAAGGAAUUUUUGUCUCAGUUUAUUUUCCUUUUGAAGAAAGUUGUACCUAUUGUUGGGUUCCACUGUAAACUAUCACACUUUGUUUGGAUAGCAAUAUAGGAGGGAAAAGAAGUGAAGGGAUUGGGUAGGAAGGCGAGGGGAAAGAAAGGGAGGGGGAAGAUGGAGCUCCAUUUUCCCUUCCCUCUCCCUCCUCUACCUUCCCCCAAUCCCGUAUCCAAACAAGGGAACUUGUUCCCUCUCUCUUUCCCUUCUUUCCCUUUCUCUCCAUUUCCUCCUAUUCGAAACAAAGUGUAAAGGCUAUAAUAUAUUGCUUUGUGAGAGGGGAAGAGGCAACUUUAAAUUUCAAAGUGAUGGUGAUUGAUUAUUACAAUUACCGGGGUACUUGAUUGCAGUAAGCGUGAAGAAAUGGGCACUUAGCUAGAUAUUGCCAAUAACAAAGUGGGGUAAUUGGGGUUGGAGAACUGUGGGUUUAGGGAUCGUGCUUGUUCCUAGGGAUCUAAUGAUAAUGACAUGUACAUGUUGGCAUCAUGGUGGGAGAAGGUUUUACUUCGGAUGUGGUGGUGGUGGUUGUGGUGGUAUUCGGAAGAAUUAGGAAGGUGGUGCCCAUUAUGUAGGUGUGAGUGUUCGGCUGGUGGCCAUGGCGUGCUAUUAGGAUUCAUAUGUUUGUGAAUUCAAAAAUGAAUAUGAAUCAGUUUGAGCAGAUUGAUAUCCUAAUGCAGUAUGAACCUGUCAAAUUUAGGAGCAUAUUUCCUAACAAUUUCUAUUUCAUAGAGAAGAUGACUCAGAUAUGUCCAUUUUCACAGUGAAAAGAACAGGUUGCUAAUUCAGAUAAUCCACAACCUUGGCAUAUCAAUGCGAAAAUUGCAUUUCUUGUUGCUUCAGUUAUGGAACCUGAAUUAUUAAGACUUCUUUGGCUAGUUAUGGUCUGGGUGCUGCGCUGUUGAUACACUUUGGUAUGCCUGCACGAGGAGUAGUUGCCCCGCAGGAUCAACGAAACACCGUAAUGCUGCUGCUGAGCUGACUGCCAAUCUGAAGAAAAGUUCAGAAGCAGAGAGCAUAAACGAACGUCAUUCGAUGAUCAACCUCCCUUGGAGACUAGCUGCUGACUUUCUCAAUUGAGAUUGCAGCAUAAACGAACGUCAUUCGAUGAUCAACGUUGCCGUCAAUUGAGAUGUUUGAAGGUUACAGAUAGGCUUAUGAUGGAAAAUAAUGCACAACGUUUUGGCUCCUGUUUCCUGCAAUUCCUGGGAUGUAAACAUAGUAACAUCAACAUGAGGCCCUAGUUCCGUUUGGGGAUCGUUAGAGGUGAUCAUGGGCCGGGCCAAGCCGCCUAAAAAAAUUUGUCCAUUGCUUGGGCCGGGCCAAGCCAAAAAAUAGACUAAAAAGUCAUUUUUGACUUGCGCAAAGCCCGCCCAAAGCAAAAAAAAACGACCGCGGGACAGAAAAUUCUUUCCAAAACCCGCCCCAAAAUCAGGCCGGCCCAAUAUGAUCAGCGGUAGGGAUAGUGAAAACCGCCAAGUGUAUACUAGAAGUUGUGCACGUCAAGUUAGGUAUUGAAACGUUAGUGAAGCAUCAUAUCGCAAUUCGCAACUCAAAGGGGAUAAUAUCAGGCGAACACAGACUUCUAAGCCCUUGACAAUGUUGCAUACUGUUGUUUGGGUUUGGAAUUUUGGAUAGAUUUAUAUAUUCAGGAUGUUCCGUCCAUAAUUAUCUUCUCACGGAAAACUCUUUUAAAAACCAAGGUGUUUCAUAUUACUUUUCCAUCACUUGCAAGGUUUGACCUUUACCAUAUACAUGAUCCAUCAUACAUAGCUACUUGCGGACGUGCCCAAGUAGUUAGUACAAUAAACAAUGGCGUAUGAGUGUUACAACUGCGGAAGAAUUGGUCAUUACGCAAGGACAUGCCCUAACAAUAACCCUAAGAAUAAGAUUAUGAAGUGCCAUCAAUGUGGGGGAAGUGGGCAUUCUUCUAAGGGUUGUUAUAGGAGAUGUGGGUGGUCUUAUCCUAAAGAGAUUUACACUACUAGAUUUAAUAAUUGUGGUCAAUCCGCCAUAACUAGAGAACGCUAUGGCGGCCAUGGUAGGAAGGUAACGGCGGGUUCCAUAGUUUGUGUGGAGAAGAAGGAAGAUGUGAAGAAAGUUGAGGAGCUUGAGGAUUGCUUCAUACUGGGGUUCAAUCCUGAUGUUGAGGUAAUGAAGUCCAUUGUCGGUGUGAAUGAAGGAGAACGUUAUGAUUUUGAUCCUACUAACCCAGUCAAGUUUUCGAAUUUAUCGCUUGUUGAUAAUGGUGAUGUGUUAAUUUUGGGUGAGAAAGGCCAGGUAUUUUUUCUUCUCUAAAAUUUAUAUAUGUCCGUGAGAAAUUAAUUUCUUAGUAUUCCAUCACCCCAAUAUUAUUAGUUUACAUAGUUUGAUUGUUUUUUCGUCAAUGCUUGACAUAUUAUGAUUAUGAUCAUUUAAUUGUUAUUAUUUCGUAGAGAAAAGCAUAAGCAUGUGAAAUUUUGUUUUAGAUUCAUUUUAAUCUGAAUAUUUGCAAAAUCAAAGUUUUAUACUUAUACAUAAGUAAAUAGUUUAGUAGUAGACUAGUAGUAUAUGAAUAUGGCCGGAAGUGUGUUUUGAAGAUUGUGACAGUACCCAAAUAAUUGACCCAGUUGUGACUUGAACCAUACAUCUCAAUCAUACUUGAAAUUUUGAUACGAACCGACUUAAAGUUUGGAUCAUCAUAAGCUAAUUGACAAUUGACUAGAAAAAACGCACAACUUGAAACCAAGAUUUGAAUGGAUAAUUAUGGGACCCCAAAAUUGAUCGAAUUGAACCAAAAACUCAAUCAUGUAAUAUAACAAUAAUCUCCUCAGCUAUGUUAAUUGUAACCUAGACUUGGGUACUCAUUUCGUACUCGGUACACAUCCAAGUGCGCGACUCAGUUGUUUUUACCAUGUUCGAGUAUCAAUGAUCUAACACAGCAAUGAAGAGUCCGAAAGCCCAAGUAACAACGUAACAUGUCACUUAAUAGUUACUACUAUGUUGAUUUUCUUAAUGGGCAGGUGGCAUGUAGAGAUUACCCACAUCCAAGGCACCUCUGCGCAAUACACCCUUUCAAGAGGACUCCUCAUGAAGCUCACUGCCAAAAGUGCUAUUGCUACAUUUGUGAUUUACCUGCCCCUUGUAAGGAAUGGACUAGAGGAUAUCUUAUGCCUGACUUGAUCAAGCACUGUGAUGCUGAUGACAGUCCAUUCUGGAGGCAUUUCAGAGAUUUCCAAAGGAAGUGGACGAACCGACGAAGUGAUAAAUACUUUCAUGAAGGUAACACAAUAUAAAUGACAAGGUGGUUGAUUGCUACUGUGGGUGGUUCAACCGUUGAAGAGAUGCUCAUUAUUGAGGUGAAGAAUGUUUGUGCCUCAGAUUCUAUUGUUGAAGAGGAGGAUUCUAUAAGAUCAAUAUUUUUGCUCAAGGACAAGAAACGCAUAUAGGAGAGUUUCAGAAAAUUGAAGACUCAUCCUUGGUUUUGAUCCAUAUGUUCUCUCUUUUGGUCCGAAGCUCCAACAUGAUAGAAAUUGAUCUUGAUAUUCACAUUGUAGUUGAGUAAGACAAAUUAGAUCAUUUUGGGAAAAAAAGUUUUUUUUUUUUGUACGAUUGGGUAUGUUUUAGUUUACUCUAUACAUGAGGAUUACCAAACAAAAUUUUGGUAGGUGUGUUCUUGGCUUUAACUUAUUAGUAAGAGUAACAAAAAACACCGAGCGCAAUAAUGUAGACGAGAUUCGAUCACAAGCAUGGAUACCAUCA